rnacentral:rRNA from 1 species
GAUGAACGCUGGCGGCGUGCCUAACACAUGCAAGUCGAGCGAAGCGGGGACGGGUGAGUAACACGUGGAUAACCUCCUAUAAGACUGGGAUAACUUCGGGAAAGCGGAGCUAAACCGGAAACUUAUAGAUGGAUCCGCGCUGCAUUAGCUAGUUGGUAAGGUAACGGCUGACCAAGGCAACGAUGCAUAGCAGACCUGAGAGGGUGACCGGCCACACUGGAACUUAGACCCGGGCCAGACUCCUACGGGAGGCAGCAGUUGGGAAUCUUCCGCAAUGGGCGAAAGCCUGACGGAGCAACGCCGCGUGAGUGAUGAAGGUCUUCGGUUCGUAAAACUCUGUUAUUAGGGAAGCGGUACCUACUCAGGAAGCCCCGGCUAACCCCGUGCCAGCAGCCGCGGUAAUUC